CAUUUAUACUUGGCAAUUCCAUCUGAUCAUGUGGCAUGAAACUGCUGUACCUUUUCCCAAAAUGUUGUCUCUUGCUGCACGUACCGGAUGAACGUUUCGUUUCGUCACAUGCAGAAAUUCUUCAGAAAAGUCCUGAGUCCUGAGCUUCUUCAUUGCAGUCUGAAUUUGUUGCAGCCAGCUGGUGGAACUUGGUGUUCCUCUUGCUACCAGUACCGAUUGUAGCUUUCGUCACAUACAGAAACACUUCAUGUCCACUCCCCCUCAAUUAUUCAAAAUGGUGGCCAUCUGACAUGUUGAUUCCUGUAGAGGUGUGAUUGUGAUGAACAAUUCUCAUUCUCAGCUUUUUGCAGGUACAAUUGCCGCACGGCUCGAGUUGAAAGGUGAAUCAGGAGAAGG
rnacentral:lncRNA from 1 species